GCCCGCUUGGCUCAGCGGUAGAGCGCCUCACUAGUAUUGCCUACAAAAAACUACUAGAUCAUGAGGAGGCGACUGGUUCGACUCCAGUAGUGGGCA
rnacentral:tRNA from 1 species